AACUCGCACUUCCUUCAUAUUCAUUUCUUUUUAGUUUUUUUUUUUCAUUUUUUCUUUACCUUGCCAUCAAAACAACCAUGGCAAGGAUCUCUCUGUUGUUAUUUAUAGCCGUGGUUCUAGCCAUUGGCUCCGUCUCAGCUCACCCACCUAAGAAAAUCAAAAAGAACUUAUGUCCACCUACAUUGUCCCAACUCCAAACUUUCCCCUCCAUCGAAAUCUCUAAGCUCAUCGAAAAGAAGAUCAAAUCCGCACCCAACACACCUCAGUUCAGCACUUUGUUCGCCAUCUGCAAAGGCUACAGCGACUACCUCGCUGUUUUCAAGGUUAAAGCCGUCAAGAGUGCGUUUGGUUCUAUUCAUACCAAAUUCGUUAUGAUGACUGAGGCGAUGUUUGCGGCUCAAGCAGCUGUUGGUGUUGAAGGUGAGCUUGCGUCUGGGGUGCGGAAGAGCUACAAGGUGAUGGCUGAUGGGUUUGUUGAGCUUGAGCAGAUGAUUGCUGAGAUCUCGGCCAAGUAUAAUUUCGAUGCUAAUGCUCAGAUAAGCAUGGCUGACAGGUUCAAGAUUGAGAAGUGUUUGAUUAAGUUGAAGGGUUACAUUAAUGUUUUCGUGAAGGUGAUCACUAAGUGCAGUGCCAAAUUCGCCGGGAAGCCGAUGGGGAACCCCGUUGUAGCCGGUAGCCUUUUCGAUGGUUUCCUCAAGAAGGGUGUCCAACUUGGCGGUAACUUCCUCGGAGCCAUCGGCGGUAAUGCCGGAGCCGGAGUCGGAGGUAAUGCCGGAGCCGGAGCCGGAGUCGGAGGCCUUGUUGGAGGCAUGGUCGGAGGCCUUGUUGGAGGCAAGGUCGGAGGUCGUGGCAGAGGCGGCAAGGCCGGAGGCAAAUUCGGAGGUAAGGUCGGAGGCCUUGUUGGAGGCGAGGUCGAAGGUCAUGCUGGAGGCAACGCCGGAGCUCAAGGCGAAGUUAUAGUCGAAGGUAAUGCCGGAGCUGGAGUCGAAGUCGGAGGCCUUGUUGGAGGCAAGGUCGGAGGCCGUGGCAAAGGCAAGGUCGGAGGUCGUGUGGGAGGCAACUUUGGAGCUCAAGGCGAAGUUAAAGUCGGAGGUCAAGCUGGAGCCGGAGGCAAGGUUGGAGGUCAACUAACAGAACAAGAUGAGUCCUAAAAAAAUCAAUAUCAACAUGAUACAACUAAAAUCAAUUUACGUACCUAGAAAGAGAUGAACCUUUUUUAAAAAAAAAAUUUAAAAUAAUAUCAAUUUAAAAAUCAUAUCAGUCAUAGAACUAAAAUGAAAACAACAAUAACUAAACACUAAGUAUAUAACUGAACAUAUAAAAAGGACUAGAGAAAGAAAACAUAUAAACAGGAAAAAGAUCUGAAGACAGCAAAAACUAAGAACUUAAUAUAAUUAAACAUAUAGAAAAAAUGACUGAGAACAUAUGAAUGGAAAAUACAUAUCAUACAAGGAACAAACCAAAAAUGAAGGAAAUUUGAUUUUAUCAUAAGUCCAAAUUUCAAUAACUAACUAUAUACACAAAAUUAUUGAACAUCAGAAAGCGGUUGGUAGGAAACGUUAAUAUUAAAAUUUAUAGAGAUUAAAAAAACACAUUUACUAAAUAUAUAUAAUAUAUUAUAAAACUAAUCGAAAUAAUACAUGAAAAUUAAUACAUGCCAUAAUAUUAUUAACAAGAUUUAACUUUAACGAUCCCAUAAUAUUUAAAGCUUCAAAUGAUAAUUAAUGAAAAUUAAAAUACAAAAAAACGUAAUACCACAUAAAGUUAAAAACUGAGAGCAAGAAAAUAACAUCAGAUAAUUUUAUUAUUCUCAUUUCUAAGUUUCAUGAAUUAUAAAUAUAUUGUAUAAUAUCAAAAUAUGGUACAAAUUAAUUUUUUUUUAAAAAAUCAUACUUCAAAUGUUUAGAAAAAUAUAUAAAUAAUGAAAAUUAUCUAACAAAUAAAAAUUUACAAAAAAUACAAACUUAAACAAAACAACUUAGAAGUAUUAACCGCGCGUAGCGCGGUAAGAAGCUCUAGUUAUUAUAAACAGAGAAAAAAAAGGAAAUGGAUGGUGCCUAUGGUAAAUGGUAAAAAGAUAAUUAAUACAUAAUAUACACAGAAUAUCAUAGUAAAACAUUUGCAAUGGUUAUAAACUUAAUUUCGUUGGUAGUUAUGUAUACAAAUCCUAAUUUCUGUAUGUAUUAACCAUUGUGUGGAUUUUUUUAAAUUGUAUGGAAUUCUUGUUUGGGUCAAUUAGCCAAAUAGCUAAAAUUUGAAGUGAAAUUAAGAGAAUGGCAUUGAUUUUGACGUAAUUGGGUAACUAACAUUUAAGGUCCAUUUGAUCCGGUAAUACCCUUGGUUGGUGCAAGUAACCGGUGAAAGAUAGAAAGUUAGAUGACGUAAACAAAUUGAGGUAUGGCUAAUAUUUAAAUCACAUCUGAGUGAAUAUAAGGAAUCACGUCACAUAUUUAUGACCACAUACAUAUGUUUCAGUGUUCUAUUCCACAUCACCGAAAUAAAACAGAUUUCUAACCUCACUCACAUACUCUAAUACUAAACAUUAUCCCAAAUCUAACCCAUAUAUACUAAACAUUAUCCAAAUCCCACCCCAACCCCUUAAUACUAAACCCUAAACCUUAAUCAAUAAACCCUAAACUCAAAUACAUAACUCUAAACCCAAAUAUAAAUUCUAAACCCAAAUAUAAAUUCUAAACCCAAAUAGAAUGAAACAAAAUAAAUAAUAUGGUAUAUAUUGGUAAAAUUAUGAAAUGUCUAUAAUUUCGUAGAAGAAGUUGAUGUUGAUCCCAACUAUACCUCCUCAUCUUCUAAAUACUAAACCUUAAACUAUAUUCACUAAUUCCUAAACUCAAAUAUAAACCAUAAACCCAAAUAGAAUGUAACAAAAUAAAUAGCAUGGUAUAUAUUGGUGAAAUUAUGAAAUAUCUAUGAUUUCAUGGAAAAGGUUAAUGUGACCCAACUGUACCCAACUAUACCUUAAACUUUAAUCCCUAAACCCUAAAUAUAAACCCUACACGGAAAUAUAAACCCUAAUCCAAUGUCAACCCCAAUCUUUCAUAAACUAAACCCGAAUGGAACAAAAUGAUGAAAUAUCUAUGAUUUCAUGGAAGAAGUUAAUGCUGAUCCCCCAACCAUAUCCCCUCACCUUCUAAAUACUAAACCCUAAAUUAUAUUCACUAAACCCUAAACCAAAAUAUAAACCCUAAACCCAAAUAUAAAUCCUAAACCCAAAUAUCAAAGUCUAAAAAAUUACAUAUAUUAUGUAAAAUUAAAUUAUAUUAUGUAAUAUUAAACUACACAAUCUAGAUCAUAGCACGAUAUUUACUUGUUCAAAAACUAUAUUUCUUAACAAAAUAAAACACUCUUUAGUAAUCAUCAAAUGGAAUGGAACAUGAUAAAAUAGAAGAGUAGCAGAAUAUAUCGCAUUUCAUAACAGGAAUAGAACAAACAUAACACAUAUUGUUUUACAUUUCUAUUCCAUAUGCGAAUAGAAUAGAACAAACAUAACACAUAUUGUUUUACAUUUCUAUUCCAUAUGAGAAUAGAAUAGAACAAAAUAAACAGACACUGUUUAUCUUCUCCGAUCAACUUCAUCCACGGCGAAAAAAUGUAAUUGUAUCUCGCAACAUCAGUGGAGAUAAUACAUAUAACCGUAUGAGAGAGACAGAUUUUGUUGUUGAUACAGUAAAUAGAAGAGUUAGGGUAAUUGGCUACUCAAUCAAUUAUGCUUUUUUGUAGCGUCAUCUCACCUAAUUUCCCAAAGAAAUAACACAUAUUAUUUGAUAUAAAAGGUCAACUGUUUCAAACUUAGCUCUUGCAUUUGCUUUUGUGUUUACUGUUAUAACAAAACAAAUCUAUUUUCUGAAUGUAAACAAAAAUUGUAUGAUGAAAACUAAAUUUGUAUAUAUUCUAAUUACAGUAGCUAGACCAGUGGUUCUCCAGUAAUUGACUUCUUCUCACAAAUAGUUUGUUUUUGUGAUUCAUCAAAAUUGUUUAGACAAAGAAAAAUUCAAGUGAACGACCAUGAAUCUCUCUUUUGUAUUGUUGUGAUGGUUUUUUUCUGUUCUUGUAACCUUCCUUAACCUAUUUUUAGGCUUUGUGAAAAAUGUAUAUAUACCCUUCAAAAUCCUCAAUCAAAACUCGCACUUCCUUCAUAUUCAUUUCUUUUUAGUUUUUUUUUUUCAUUUUUUCUUUACCUUGCCAUCAAAACAACCAUGGCAAGGAUCUCUCUGUUGUUAUUUAUAGCCGUGGUUCUAGCCAUUGGCUCCGUCUCAGCUCACCCACCUAAGAAAAUCAAAAAGAACUUAUGUCCACCUACAUUGUCCCAACUCCAAACUUUCCCCUCCAUCGAAAUCUCUAAGCUCAUCGAAAAGAAGAUCAAAUCCGCACCCAACACACCUCAGUUCAGCACUUUGUUCGCCAUCUGCAAAGGCUACAGCGACUACCUCGCUGUUUUCAAGGUUAAAGCCGUCAAGAGUGCGUUUGGUUCUAUCCAUACCAAAUUCGUUAUGAUGACUGAGGCGAUGUUUGCGGCUCAAGCAGCUGUUG
rnacentral:lncRNA from 1 species